rnacentral:rRNA from 1 species
CCUACGGGUGGCAGCAGUGGGGAAUAUUGCACAAUGGGGGAAACCCUGACGCAGCCACGCCGCGUGAGUGAAGAAGGAUUUCGGUAUGUAAAGCUCUUUCAGUAGGGAAGAAAAUGACGGUACCUGUUUACGAAGUCACGGCUAACUACGAGCCAGCAGCCGCGGUAAUACGUCGGGGGCGAGCGUUCUCCGGAUAUACUGGGUGUAAAGGUAGCGUAGACGGCAGCACAAGUCAGGCGUGAAAUGCCGGGGCUUAACCCCGGAACUGCUUUCGAAACUGAGCAGCUAGAGUGCAGGAGAGGUAAGUGGAAUUCCUAGUGUAGCGGUGAAAUGCGUAGAGAUUAGGAGGAACACCGGAGGCGAAGGCAGC